AACUGCGAUAAGUAGUGUGAAUUGCAUUUAGUGAAUCAUCGAAUCUUUGAACGCACCCUGCACUCACUGGUAUUCCGGUGAGUACGCCUGUUUCAGUAUCAUUGAAAACACACAAUCAAAACAUUUUCUUUGGUUUGAUUGGCUUUGGGUCUAUCAAAAAGUUUGGCUUGUUUCUUACAAGCCAAGCGGCCUGAAAUAUAUUGUCUGGCUAAUUGCAUCGUUGAUGAUCGCUAUUAGACUUUGGCUUUUUUAAAUGAACUGGAGGUUGAUUAACCAGUUUUAGCUUUAGUCAAAUGGUCAUUGUAAAAAAAAUCUCGAUCUUGGUUAGGUGUUUAUAGCCGAAAAUUUUUUUUUGGCUAUAACCGAAACCAAUAUAAUCACAUUUAGUUAUCGAUCUGAAAUCAGGUGGGACUACCCGCUGAACUUAAGC
rnacentral:misc_RNA from 1 species